AGGAUGAACGCUGGCGGCGUGCCUAAUACAUGCAAGUCGAGCGAACAGAUAAGGAGCUUGCUCCUUUGACGUUAGCGGCGGACGGGUGANNNUAACACGUGGGUAACCUACCUAUAAGACUGGGAUAACUUCGGGAAACCGGAGCUAAUACCGGAUAACAUUUGGAACCGUCUAAAGUGAAAGAUGGUUUUGCUAUCACUUAUAGAUGGACCCGCGCCGUAUUAGCUAGUUGGUAAGGUAACNNAGGCUUACCAAGGCGACGAUACGUAGCCGACCUGAGAGGGUGAUCGGCCACACUGGAACUGAGACACGGUCCAGACUCCUACGGGAGGCAGCAGUAGGGAAUCUUCCGCAAUGGGCGAAAGCCUGACGGAGCAACGCCGCGUGAGUGAUGAAGGGUUUCGGCUCGUAAAACUCUGUUAUUAGGGAAGAACAAACGUGUAAGUAACUGUGCACGUCUUGACGGUACCAUGACAUAAUCAGAAAGCCACGGCUAACUACGUGCCAGCAGCCGCGGUAAUACGUAGGUGGCAAGCGUUAUCCGGAAUUAUUGGGCGUAAAGCGCGCGUAGGCGGUUUCUUAAGUCUGAUGUGAAAGCCCACGGCUCAACCGUGGAGGGUCAUUGGUUUUACGACCGAUAAACUGGGAAACUUGAGUGCAGAAGAGGAAAGUGGAAUUCCAUGUGUAGCGGUGAAAUGCGCAGAGAUAUGGAGGAACACCAGUGGCGAAACUUUCUGGUCUGUAACUGACGCUGAUGUGCGAAAGCGUGGGGAUCAAACAGGAUUAGAUACCCUGGUAGUCCACGCCGUAAACGAUGAGUGCUAAGUGUUAAGCAACGCGAAGAACCUUACCAAAUCUUGACAUNNCCUUUGAAAACUCUAGAGAUAGAGCCUUCCCCUUCGGGGGACAAAGUGACAGGUGGUGCAUGGUUGUCGUCAGCUCGUGUCGUGAGAUGUUGGGUUAAGUCCCGCAACGAGCAAGCUUAGUUGCCAUCAUUAAGUUGGGCACUCUAGGUUNGACUGCCGGUGACAAACCGGAGGAAGGUGGGGAUGACGUCAAAUCAUCAUGCCCCUUAUGAUUUGGGCUACACACGUGCUACAAUGGACAAUACAAAGGGCAGCUAAAGGUCAUGCAAAUCCCAUAAAGUUGUUCUCAGUUCGGAUUGUANNNGUCUGCAACUCGACUACAUGAAGCUGGAAUCGCUAGUAAUCGUAGAUCAGCAUGCUACGGUGAAUACGUUCCCGGGUCUUGUACACACCGCCCGUCACACCACGAGAGUUUGUAACACCCGAAGCCGGUGGAGUAACCAUUUAUGGAGCUAGCCGUCGAAGGUGGGACAAAUGAUUGGNNNGGUG
rnacentral:rRNA from 1 species